UACGUAGGGGGCAAGCGUUGUCCGGAAUCAUUGGGCGUAAAGAGCGUGUAGGCGGCUUGGUAAGUCCGCUGUGAAAGUCCAGGGCUCAACCCUGGAAUGCCGGUGGAAACUGUCAAGCUUGAGUCCGGGAAGAGGCGAGUGGAAUUCCUGGUGUAGCGGUGAAAUGCGCAGAUAUCAGGAGGAACACCAAUUGCGAAGGCAGCUCGCUGGGACGUUACUGACGCUGAGGCGCGAAAGCGUGGGGAGCAAACAGG
rnacentral:rRNA from 1 species